UAGUACACCGGAAACAUCUAAUCAACAGAGACGUCCACAAUCACGACUCCUGCGGAAACAUCUACAACAACAGAGGCUUCUACAAUCACAACUCCUGAUGAAACAUCCACCACUAGUGCAACAGAAACAUCUACAACAACAGAGACUUCCACAAUCAAAACUCCUGAUGAAUCAUCCACCACUAGUGCACCAGAAACAUCUACAACAUCAGAGACUUCCACAAUCAUGACUCCAGAUAAAACAUCCACUACUAGUGCACCAGAAACAUCUACAACAACAGAGACUUCCACAAUCAUGACUCCUGCUGAAGCAUCUACAUCAACAGAGACUUCCAAAAACAUGACUACUGAUGAAGCAUCCACCACUAGUGCAAUAGAAACAUCUACAAUGUCAGAGACUUCCACAAUCACGACACCUCAUGAAACAUCCACCACAAGUGAAGCAGAAACAUCUACACCAACAGAGACUUUUACAAUCACAACAACUGCGGCUGAAACAUCCACCACUAAUGCAGGCGAAAGAUAUUCAACAACAGAAACUUCCACAAUGACAACAACACCUGCUGAAACACCCACAAUUAGUGCAACAGAAACAUCUACAACAACAGACACUUCCACUAUAACGACUCCUACUGAAACAUCCACCACUAGUGCAGAAAAAACAGAUGCAACAACAGAGACUUCCACAAUAAUGACUCCAGCUGAAACAUCCACCAUUAGUUUAGUAGAAAUGUCUUCAGCAACAGAGACUUCCACACUCACAACAACUUCUGCUGAAACAUCCACCACCAGUGCUGCAGAAACAUCUCCAACAACAGAGACUACCACAAUCACAUUUCCUGCUGAAACAUCCACCAUUAGUUUAGCAGAAAUAUCUUCAACAACAGAGAUUUCCACAAUCAAAACAACUGUGGCUGAAACAUCCACUAUUAUUGUAUUAGAAACAUCAACAACAAAAGACACUUCCACAAUCACUACUCCCUCUAAAAGAUCCACCACUAGUGCAGCAGAAAUAUCUUCAACAACAGAGAUUUCCACAAUCACAACAAUUCCUGCUGAAACAUCCACUAUCAGUGUACCAGAAACAUCUACUACAAAAGAGACUUCUACAAUCACAACAACUACAGCUAAAAUAUCCAUCACAAGUGAAGCAGAAACAUCUAUACCAACAAAGAGAUCAACAAUCACAACAACUCCUGCUGAAACAUCCACCACUAAUGUAGUAGGAUCAUCUUCAACAACAGUGACUUCCACAGUCAUGACAAGUCGAGCUGAAACAUCCACUAUCAGUGUAGCAGAAACAUCUUCAACAAAGGAGACUUCCACUUUCACAACUCCUGCUGAAACAUCCUCCACUAGUGCACCAGAAACAUCUACUACAAAAGAGACUUCCACAAUCAGAACUACAGCUGAAAUAUCCACCAUAAGUGAAGCAGAAACAUCUACACCAACAGAGAGAUCCACAAUCACAACAGCUCCUGCUGAAACAUCCACCACUAGUGCAGUCGAAAGAUAUUCAACAACAGACACUUCCACUGUAAUGACUCCUACUGAAACAUCCUCAACUAGUACAGAAAAAACAUCUACAAUAACAGAGGCUUCCACAAUCACAACUCCUGCUGAAACAUCCACUAUUAGUGCAACAGAAACAUCUACAACAACAGACACUUCCACAAAAAUAACAACUCCUGCUGAAACACCCACCAUUAGUGCAACAGAAACAUCUACAACAACAGACACUUCCACUGUAAUGACUCCUACUGAAACAUCCUCAACUAGUACAGAAAAAACAUCUACAAUAACAGAGGCUUCCACAAUCACAACUCCUGCUGAAACAUCCACUAUUAGUUUAGCAGAAACAUCUACAACAACAGAGACAUCCACAAUUACUAUUCCUGCUGAAACAUCCACCACUAGUGAAGCAGAUAUAUCUAAAACAACAGAGACUUCCACAAUCACAACAAUUUCCGCUGAAACAUCCACUAUCAGUGCUGCAGAAACAUCUACAACCACAGAGACUUCUACAAUCACAACUGCUUCUGAAACAUCCACUACUAGUGUAGCAGAAACAUCUGCAACAAUGGAGCCUGUAUAUGAAGUGAAUAUAAAGCUGGAGUUCCGCUCUAAAGAUUCAUUCAUAGAAGACCUCAAUGAUAGACAGUCUCCUGCUUUCAAAAACAGGGCUACGCUCGUUCAGGAUAUUCUUACACUUCUUUUCAAGAAGUUUGAUUCCUUCCUUAGAGUCACUGUACUACUAUUCAGAAAGGGAUCGGUCAUUACCACAUCAGAACUCGCUUUCAACUCUACACAGAAUGUCCCAUCAGAACUCCAAAUUGCAGAAAAAUUACUGAGUGACAAUAAAACUUUCUAUGCCCUGAACAUAACUUCUUUCUCAGUUAAUAAUACAGAAUAUCUAUCAACAACCACAACUCCUGCGGCAACAUCUACAACAAAAACAGAGCAGUCCACAAUCAUAACAACUACAACUGAAACAUCCACUACUAGUGCAGCAGAAAUAUCUACAACAGAGACUUCGACAAUCAUAACAACUCCACCUGAAACAUCCAGCACUAGUGCUACAGCAACAUCUUCAACAACAGAGACUUCCACAAUCACAACAAUUCCUGCUGAAAUAACCACAAUCAGUGUAGCAGAAACAUCUACAACAAUGGAGACUUCCACAACAAUGACUCCUGCUGAAACAUCCACUACUAGUGCAGCAGAAAAAUCUACUACACAGAUAUCCACCAUCACAACAAUUCCUGCCGAAACAUCCACCACUAGUGAUGUAGAAACGUCUUCAACAAUGGAGACUCCCACAUUCACGACUAUUGCUGAAACAUCCACCACUAGUGCACCAGAAACAUCUACUACAAAAGAGACUUCCACAAUCACAACAAAUCCAGCUGAAAUAUCCACUAUCAGUGAAACACCCACAAUUAGUGCAACACAAACACCUACAACAACAGACACUUCCACUAUAACGACUCCUACUGAAACAUCCACCACUAGUGCAGAAAAAACAUCUACAACAACAGAGACUUCCACAAUCAAAAUAAUUUCUGCUGAAACAUCCACCAUCAGUGUAGCAGAAACAUCUACAACAAUGGAGACUUUCACAAUCACGACUACUGCUGAAAAAUCCACUAUUAGUGAAGCAGAAACUUCUACAACAACAGGGACUUCCAGAAUUCCAACAAUUCCUGUUGAAACAUACACCACUAGUGCCACAGACACAUAUUUAACAACAGAGACUUCCACACUCACAACAACUUCUGCUGAAACAUCCACUUUAAGUGUAGCAGAAACAUAUACAACAACAGAGACUUUCACAAUUACUACUCCUACUGAAACAUCCAACACUAGUGAAGCAGAAACAUCAACUACCAAAGAGACUUCCACAGUCACGAAUCCUGAUGAAACAUCCACCACUAGUGUCACAGAAAUAUUUUCAACAACAGAGAUUCCCACAAUCAUAACAACUCCAGCUAAAACAUCCACUAUCAGUGUAGCAGAAACAUCUACAACAAUGGAGACUUUCACAUCCACGACUCCUCCUGAAACAUCCACCACUAGUGCAGCAGAAACAUCUACAACAACAGAAACUUCCACAAUCACAACAACUUCUGCUGAAACAUCCACCACUAAAGCAGCAGAAAUAUCUACAACAACAGAGACUUCCACAAUCACUACUCCUGCUGAAACAUCCACCACUAUUGAAGCAGAAACAUAUUUAACAACAAAGACUUCCACAAUCCCAACAAUACCUGCUGAAACAUCCACCAGUAGUGCAGCAGAAAUAUCUACUACAACAGAGAAUUCCACAAUCACAACAAUUCCUGCUGAAACCUCUACUAUCAGUGUAGCAGAAACAUCUACAAAAAUGACUUCCACAAUCACGACUCCUGCUGAAACAUCCACUAUUAUUGUAGCAGAAAUAUCUUCAACAACAGAGACUUCCACACUAACAACAACUGCAGCUGAAACAUCCACUUUUAGUGUUUCAGAAACAUCUACAACAACAGAGACUUUCACAGUCACUACUCCUGCUGAAACAUCCACCACUAGUGGAGCAGAAACUUCUACAACAACAGAGACUUCCAGAACAACGACUCCUGCUGAAACAUCCACUACUAGUAUAGCAGAAAAAUCUACUAAAGAGAUAUCCACCAUCACAUCAAUUCCUGAUGAAACAUCCACCACUAGUGCAGCAGAAACAUCUCCUACAACAGAGACUUCCACAACAACGACUCCUCCUGAAACAUCCACUACUAGUAUAGCAGAAAAAUCUACUAAACAGAUAUCCACCAUCACAUCAUUUCCUGAUGAAACAUCCACCACUAGUGAUGCAGAAACGUCUUCAACAACAGAGACUUCCACAAUUACAAAAAUUCCUGCUGAAACAUCCACCAUCAGUGUAGCAGUAACAUCUACAACAAUGGAGACUUUCACAAUCACGACUCCUGCUGAAACAUCCACUAUUAGUGUAGCUGAAAUAUCUUCAACAACAGAGACUUCCACACUCACAACAACUUCUGCGGAAACAUCCACUUUUAGUGUAGCAGAAACAUAUACAACAACAGAGACUUUCACAAUCACUACUCCUGCUGAAACAUCCACCACUAGUGAAGCAGAAACAUCUACUACCAAAGAGACUUCCACAGUCACGAAUCCUGCUGAAACAUCCGCUACUAGUGCAGCAGAAACUUCUACAACAACAGAGACUAAUACAAUCACAUCGUCUCCUCCUAAAACAUCCACCACUAGUGUAGCAGAAAUAUUUUCAACAACAGAGAUUCCCACAAUCAUAACAACUCCAGCUAAAACAUCCACUAUCAGUGUAGCAGAAACAUCUACAAAAACAGAGACUUCCACAACCACUACUCCUGCUAAAACAUCCACCACUAGUGAAGCAGAAACUUCUACAACAACAGGGACUUCCAGAAUUCCAACAAUUCCUUUUGAAACAUACACCACUAGUGCAGCAGACACAUAUUUAACAACAGAGACUUCCACAAUCCCAGCAAUACCUGCUGAAACAUCCACCAGUAGUGCAGCAGAAAUAUCUUUAACAACAGAGACUUCAACAUUCAUAACACCUGCGGCUGAAACAUCCACUACUAGUGUAGCAGAAACAUCUAUAACAACAGAGACUACUACAAUCACAUCGUCUCCUCCUGAAGCAUCCACCACUAGUGUAGCAGAAAUAUUUUCAACAACAGAGAUUCCCACAAUCAUAACAACUCCAGCUAAAACAUCCACUAUGAGUGUAGCAGAAACAUCUACAACAAUGGAGACUCCCACAUCCACGACUCCGGAUGAAACAUCCACCACUAGUGCAGCAGAAAAAUCUACAACAACAGAGACUUCCACAAUCACAACUAUUCCUGCUGAAACAUCCACCAUCAGUGUAGCAGAAACAUCUACAACAAUGGAGACUUUCACAAUCACGACUCCUGCUGAAACAUCCACUAUUAGUGUAGCAGAAAUAUCUUCAACAACAGAGACUUCCACAAUUACAACAACUCCUGCUGAAACAUCCACCACUAAUGCAACAGAAACAUCUACAAAAACAGAGACUUCCACAAGCACUACUCCUGCUAAAACAUCCACCAGUAGUGAAGCAGAAACUUCUACAACAACAGGGACUUCCAGAAUUCCAACAAUUCCUGUUGAAACAUACACCACUAGUGCAGCAAAAAUAUCUUUAACAACAGAGACUUCCACAAUCCCAACAAUUCCUGCUGAAACCUCUACUAUCAGUGUAGCAGAAACAUCUACAACAAUGGAGACUUCCACAACCACGACUACUGCUGAAACAUCCACUAUUAUUGUAGCAGAAAUAUCUUCAACAACAGAGACUUCCACACUCACAACAACUGCAGCUGAAACAUCCACUUUUAGUGUUGCAGAAACAUCUACAACAACAGAGACUUUCACAAUCACUACUCCUGCUGAAUCUUCCAUCACUAGUGGAGCUGAAACAUCUACUACCAAAGAGAUUUCUACAGACAUGAAUCCUGCUGAAACAUCCACUACUAGUGCAGCAGAAACUUCUACAACAACAGGGACUUCCAGAAUCCCAACAAUUCCUGUUGAAACACCAAUCACUAGUGCAAAAGAAACAUCUACUACAACAGAGACUUCAACAACAACGACUCCUGCUGAAACAUCCACUACUAGUAUAGCAGAAAAAUCUACUACACAGAUAUCCACCAUCACAUCAAUUCCUGAUGAAACAUCCACCACUAGUGAUGCAGAAACGUCUUCAACAGAGACUUCCACGAUCACAACAAUUCCUGCUGAAACCUUUACUAUCAGUGUAACAGAAACAUCUACAACAACAGAGAGUUCCACAAUCACAACAAUUCCAGCUGAAACAUCCUCUACUAGUGCAGCAGAAACAUCUACGAGAUCAGAGACUUCCACAAUGAUGACAAUUGCUGAAACAUUAACCACUAGUGCAUCAGAAACAUCUACAACAACAGAGACUUCCACAAUCACUACAUCUGCUGAAAUAUCUACUGUCAGUGAAACAGAAACAUCUACAACAAAAGAGUCUUCAACAAUAACGAUUCCUGCUGAAACACCCACCACUAGUGUAGCAGAAAUAUUUUCAACAACAGAGACUUCUAUAUUCACAACACCUCCGGCUGAAACAUCCACUAUUAGUGUAGCAGAAAUAUUUUCAACAACAGAGACUUUCCCAAUCACAACAAUUCCUGCUGAAACCUCUACUAUCAGUGUUGCAGAAACAUCUUCAACAACAGAGACUUCCACAAUCACUAUUCCUGCUGAAACAACCACCUCUAAUGCAGCAGAAACUUAUACAACAACAGGGACUUCCAGAAUCCCAACAAUUCCUGUUGAAACAUACACCACUAGUGCCACAGACACAUAUUUAACAACAGAGACUUCCAAAAUCCCAACAAUAACUGCUGAAACAUCCACCAGUAGUGCAGAAACAUCUACAACAAUGGAGACUUCCACAAUCACGACUCCUGCUGAAACAUCCACUAUUAGUGUAGCAGAAAUAUCUUCAACAACAGAGACUUUCACAAUCACUACUCCUGCUGAAACAUCCAUCACUAGUGGAGCAGAAACAUCUACUACCAAAGAGAUUUCUACAGACAUGAAUCCUGCUGAAACAUCCACUACUAGUGCAGCAGAAACUUCUACAACAACAGAGACUUCCACAAUCCCAACAAUUCCUGCUGAAACACCAAUCACUAGUGCAAAAGAAACAUCUACUACAACAGAGACUUCAACAACAACGACUCCUGCUGAAACAUCCACUACUAGUAUAGCAGAAAAAUCUACUACACAGAUAUCCACCAUCACAUCAAUUCCUGAUGAAACAUCCACCACUAGUGAUGCAGAAACGUCUUCAAGAGAGACUUCCACGAUCACAACAAUUCCUGCUGAAACCUUUACUAUCAGUGUAACAGAAACAUCUACAACAACAGAGAGUUCCACAAUCACAACAAUUCCAGCUGAAACAUCAUCUACUAGUGCAGCAGAAACAUCUACGAGAACAGAGACUUCCACAAUGAUGACUGCUGAAGAAACAUCCAGCACUAUUGCAACAGAAAUACCUACAACAACAGAGACUUCCACAAUCACUACUUCUGCUGAAAUAUCUACUGUCAGUGAAACAGAAACAUCUACAACAAAAGAGUCUUCAACAAUAACGAUUCCUGCUGAAACACCCACCACUAGUGUAGCAGAAAUAUUUUCAACAACAGAGACUUCUAUAUUCACAACACCUCCGGCUGAAACAUCCACUAUUAGUGUAGCAGAAACGUCUAUAACAACAGAGACUAUUACAAUCACAUUUUCUCCUGCUGAAACAUCCACAACUAGUGUAGCAGAAAUAUUUUCAACAACAGAGACUUUCCCAAUCACAACAAUUCCUGCUGAAACCUCUACUAUCAGUGUUGCAGAAACAUCUUCAACAACAGAGACUUCCACAAUCACUAUACCUGCUGAAACAACCACCUCUAAUGCAGCAGAAACUUAUACAACAACUGGGACUUCCAGAAUCCCAACAAUUCCUGUUGAAACAUACACCACUAGUGCCACAGACACAUAUUUAACAACAGAGACUUCCAAAAUCCCAACAAUAACUGCUGAAACAUCCACCAGUAGUGCAGCAGAAACAUCUUUAACAACAGAGACUUACACAAUCCCAACAAUUCCUGCUGAAACACCCACCACUAGUGUAGCAGAAAUAUCUUCAACAACAGAGACUUCCACAAUCACUAUUCCUGCUGAAAAAUCCACCUCUAAUGCAGCAGAAACAUUUACUAACAAAGAGAUUUCUACAGUCAUGAAUCCUGCUGAAACCUCCAUUACUAGUGCAGCAGAAACUUCUACCACAACAGGGACUUCCAGAAUCCCAACAAUUCCUGUUGAAACAUACACCACUAGUGCCACAGACACAUAUUUAACAACAGAGACUUCCACAAUCCCAACAAUACCUGCUGAAACAUCCACCAGUAGUGCAGCAGAAACAUCUACUACAACAGAGACUUCCACAACAACGACUCCUGCUGAAACAUCCACUACUAGUGCAGCAGAAAAAUCUACUACACAAAUAUCCACCAUCACAACAAUUCCUGCUGAAACAUCCACCACUAGUGCUGCAGAAACGUCUUCAACAACAGAGACUUCCACAAUCACAACAAUUCCUGCUGAAACAUCCACUACUAGUGCAGCAGAAACAUCUAGAACAACAGAGACUUCCACAAUAAUGACAAAUGCUGAAAAAUCCACCACUAGUACAGCAGAAACAUCUACAACAUCAGAGACUUCCAUAAUCACUACUCCUGCUGAAAUAUCUACUAUCAGUGAAGCAGAAACAUCUACAACAACAGAGACU
ensembl:lncRNA